ACUUUCUCCACCCACCUGAGCGCCCACAAAAGCCAGCUCUGAAGUGAAGACUGACACAUGAUUUGAUAUCCGCUUUCCAAGAUGUAUCUGCAAUUGCGGAAUGCUUACUCCUAUUGCAUCUUUUCCAUUAUUCAGAUUCUUGGAACCAUAAGUGUAAACAUGCAGGAAAUCAGGUAAUUUAGAUUGAAUACACAAAUUCCCAUUGUCAAGCUAACAUCUUCCAGCAACGUCGGGGCAGAAGAAACGUAAUUACCUAACGUUAGCUAUAGUCUGAAAGUUCAUGCCGAGUCAUCGUAAGGCUAACGUUACGGUGCUGGCUGCUGACUUUUGAAGGAUGCUUCAUCAUUUCACGGAUCUGAAGUGGGUAAUACACAGUUCAGGAAAGAUGCCCAAAGAUGUGCAAAUAGGCAACUCUAGGAGGACAGGCCCCAAGAGAUGAGCAAAACAGGAAGCACAGGAUGUGACUGAGACAGAGGAUGAAAGGAGACUGUCAA